AACAUGCCCCCUUAGAUCCACCUUUGUGGAUAUCUAUGCUGUGCUGAGUUCUGCUAGUUUUUUUCUAGUAGUUCCAGCUCAGUGAUAUCCAGCAACUUUUCUGGUUGUACAGUCAAAGGUGCUUGAGUCAUUGGCAUGUGAGAUUAUUAUACCUGUAUGUCAGCUUUAAUGUUCUAAUGGCUGUGACUACAGCAUUGCUGUUUGACACAUUUCACCAUCAGGACUCUGCUGGGGUACGGACACU